rnacentral:rRNA from 1 species
UACGGAGGGUGCAAGCGUUAUCCGGAAUCAUUGGGCGUAAAGGGUACGCAGGCGGUCUAUUAAGUCAGAGGUGAAAUCCAACAGCUCAACUGUUGAACUGCCUUUGAUACUGGUAGACUUGAGGAUAAGAGAAGAAAACGGAAUUCCUAGUGUAGCGGUGAAAUGCGUAGAUAUUAGGAAGAAUACCGAUGGCGAAAGCAGUUUUCUAACUUAUUCCUGACGCUCAGGUACGAAAGCUAGGGUAGCAAACGGG